rnacentral:lncRNA from 1 species
UAGAAAAAAGCCCCAUUCUGCAGUUGCAGUCUGAAAAAAGCUAUGUCCAGGAAGAGAUAUUUAGAUUUUAUUUUGAGAGAGUUUUUAAUCUGAAACAAAAUGAUUUCUCAUCUCCUAAAAAUGUACGCAAAAUAAUUUAUAAAAUGUUACACAAAUUUACAGUAUGAUUCUUCAAGUAUCUCUGGAAAGAGGAACAUACAAUCUUCUAAUUACCCCAAGGAAUGUACCACAUGUGGGUGGGUGAUUCAGAGGCUGGCUAAUCUCGCUUCCCCGCAUCCCCCAAAACAGUAAAAACAAGGUUUAGAUUUCUGACAUCUGUCGUUUUAAAAAUAAUGAAUGGAAAGGUGAUUGAUUUGAACUCUUAAUUAUUACCAAAACAAGGUAACAAGGUGUUCUCUGAUUAUGUAAUGUUCCAAGUGCAAAAGCUCAUUUCAGUGAACAGCCUCCUACGUGAUCUUCUGCCUAGCUCAGGGUCACCUCCUCCACCUCACUCCUGCCCUCCAGAAUUGCUCCCUCUCUAAUCAGCGCAGUCCCAUUCUGGCCUCGGACAGGCAGGAGUCAAGGGAGACGCGGAAGCACGCAGGCUCCUCCCCCAGCUUCCCAGGGACAAUCCUUGCAGCAGGAGGGUUUGUUGUGCUGACCUUGUGAGCGAGUGACCCAUAGAGAAGGACACUGUGUGCGGUCACUGAAGUUUUCUGACCUCAUUUGUCCACGUCGGUAUCAAUAAGUCGGCCAGGGGGAGGGGAGAGAGGAAGUGGAAAAGGACGAUUAUCAGGACAUACAGGACAAGGGACUGUGUGCAGCUGCUCUGCUGACAAGGAAUAGUUGGAGCUGUGUUUCCUUGAAGGAAUUGUUUUAAAUUGAAGGUUGGCCUGGUGUUCACAGCACUCCCACCAGCCUUUCUGCUCAUUUCCCCACCAUGAUCUCAGCCUCCUAUCUCCUCGGAAAGUUCCUAUGCCAGGGCAGUGUGUUAUGCCCAGGACACAGACUCCAGGGCCAGAUGACUUGGGUUUGAAUCCAGUUUCAUCACCUGCAAAAUGGAAAUGAUAGUAGUUCCAGCUUGUAAGAGUGUGUGAGGUUGAACUAAGUUAUCACAUCCUUAGAAGUGUGCCUAGCACUGCAUAAAGCCUUCUAGAUACUUCCUUCCAUGGUUUUGUUCAGGUUUCCUCUCUCAGCUGGAGGGGUGCCAGCUUUACUCACUCACUGCUGCUUCAAGCUGCUCUGAGCAAGGAUCAAACCUUGGCUUCUCCAGGAAGAAAAGAUGUGUUAUCAGAUUUGCCUUUGAAAAGAUCUCAUGGGGAAUCUAAGGUGUAGAAGACUCCCAAACGAUCCUUCCUGGGAAGGCUACCACUUAUUGAACCCAACUCAAUAAAUGCCAAUUUGUACACUAUUCCAUUUAAACUUUACAACAGCCCCAAAAGAAGUAUUUUUAUUCCAUUUUAUAAGGGAGAAACAAGGACAAAAAGAGGUUAAUGGCAUUCCCCUGAUUGCACAAGUAGGAUCAGAGCACAACAAUAAUAAAUAACAUUAACUAAAUAGCUGACCCGUGCAAGGUAUUGAACACCUUGCUAUGUCUUCAUUCAUUUAACGCUCACAGCCACCCUGGGAGCCAAAUACUAUUAUUCUCCCUACUUUGCAGCUGAGGAACUGAGGCAGAGAGGCCUUAUCAGCAAACCCCACAAGUAGAAAGUGGUAGAACUGCAUUUGAGUGCAGGCCUGCUGGCUCCCAGCCUAUAGAUCCAACCCCAGUACAUGCUCCCUGUGCUCCUCUGCCCACCAGUGACCGGAAAGCCCCAGCCACGCUGACCUCAUUGCCCCUGGCUGUAGUCACCAUCCAGAAAGUCCUUGAGAACUGCAGAUCUCAGUUCUGUGAGAAACAAAAACUACCAUAUGUCAUUGCCUUGUGCCUAUUUGAAUUUUUGAGACAGAGUGAAUGUUGUUCUGUUUUUUUGUUGUGGUUUCCAGGAAUCAUAAUGUCAUGUUUAAGUAUUGAGAAAGGAUGGCUUUUUCCUGUCAUUUGCAAGGGAUUUUCUUUUCUCCUCCUGAAUAUUUAGGAAUAGGUGGCCCUCAAAACUUUCCAUCCAGCCUGAGCUGGCUCAGAUGUGUAAGUGCUGGGACCACGAUGAAUCUUCUACAAGGCUCCAGAAAAAGAAGUUCCUGUGAGCAGCUGGCCAAGGGAGAAGGGAGAGGCACAGCCCCUCCUAAGCAGGCAGAAAUCUAGCACCCACCCCUUAAGCCACAAGCUCAGCCUCAGCUCCAGUUCCUCACUAGCCCUUCUGCACCUUGACCUUAAACUCUCUGAAGUGCAUGUAAAACCUUGCCAACCAGAGCUUCCUGUUGUUCUUUUGCAAAGUGAGACAUUCACAGGUUUUUUCCCUUUUCACCAAACAGGCUUGUGUUUAGAAGUUAUUUGAAGCAUAAAAAGUAAAAGUUCAACCCUUUCAUCCUCCCAAAGGUAUUUUUCCAGAGUUGAAAUAAGCAAAUAUUUUGGUAACAAUUUGGUAAAGUAAAAUGAAUUUCCUUUGGAAUUGGUCA